CCUACGGGAGGCAGCAGUGAGGAAUAUUGGUCAAUGGGCGAGAGCCUGCACCAGCCAAGUCGCGUGAAGGAUGAAGGAUCUAUGGUUUGUAAACUUCUUUUAUAUGGGAAUAAAGUGAGGAACGUGUUCCUUUUGUAUGUACCAUAUGAAUAAGCAUCGGCUAACUCAGUGCCAGCAGCCGCGGUAAUACGGAGGAUGCGAGCGUUAUCCGGAUUUAUUGGGUUUAAAGGGUGCGUAGGUGGUUAAUUAAGUCAGCGGUGAAAGUUUGUGGCUCAACCAUAAAAUUGCCGUGGAAACUGGUUGACUUGAGUAUAUUUGAGGUAGGCGGAAUGCGUGGUGUAGCGGUGAAAUGCAUAGAUAUCACGCAGAACUCCGAUUGCGAAGGCAGCUUACUAAACUAUAACUGACACUGAAGCACGAAAGCGUGGGGAUCAAACAGGAUUAGAUACCCCAGUAGUC
rnacentral:rRNA from 1 species